UAUAAGCACCUCCAAUCUCCUAUCACAGGCGGCUCCAGUCAAACCCUAGUUCGUUUGCUUCCUCGCCCCUCCGAGCGCUGUUCGCGUGGAUUCGUGCAGUAAGUUCUCAUCUCCGGCAAUGGACUGGUUCAUCAGUCGCGAUGAAUCUCACCCACCCGAGAGAGUCUUUGAUUUGGGGAUGGCCUGUGAUGCGAGAAAUUGUCCGUACCAUCUGAGAGUAUUCUCUGAUCGAUACAAAAUUAUCAUCUCUAGCUUUCUGAGGCCUUUCUCCAUGCUGAUUUCUCCAUUUGCGCAUGAUUUUCCUUUUCAAGUUCAAGACUUUUCAUUCAUGUCUUUCUGCAAAUGAUUUGAAUUUUAUUUUUAUUUUUUAACGCGAUUCGGAGGCAGUGAUGACCGAUUAACAAAUACCAUCAAACUCUGAAACCCUUUGAUGAUACUGAUAAUCAACUGUCUCUGAGCCUUCUUCAAAUGCUGAUUGCUAUUUCAAAAAAAUCUUCAAUUUUUCCGGGUUUUUACGAUCGGAAUUUGGGAAUGGGGACAUUAUCUGAACGGAAAAGGCAACAAAUUAGAGUCACUGGUGCGCUCGAAUCGAUAGCGCAUUCAGCGCUGUACGUUGCCGAUAAAGACGGUAGCUGAGAUUCUGGCGUUUGCCUCUUCUUCACCGGAGGCUUACGCAUUCAGAUGCUUCCACAUCUUAAAUCAACGAUAAUGUCUCAUUCUUUUUGCAACCGUUUGAAUGAAUGAUAAAAAUUUGAAACUUUUUCAUUUUUUAACGUGAGUAAAAAUGUCGAUUGAACUAGUAAAUACGCAGACGGCCACAGCCUCGAUCUUGGUAGAAAUAGACUCUUGUCAUACCGAAAGGCGGUAUGGAUAAGUAUGGAAAAUUUUGGGAUUGCUGCGGACAAUUUCAAAAAAUAGAGAUGAUAAGGUGCUUCGGGUCAUGAAUGCAAGCUGAAGAUGUUGGUAUUUGACAAAAUGGGGGUGUGUGUGUGAUGUGGAGGGAGGGAUUGGACUCUAUUUGAUAAGAAUAUGCUACUUUUGGAUGCUCAUAAUGUUCUCAUUUUUCCCAAUUGGUAGGUCGCGGUCUCCGUUGGCCAUUGAUCUAUGCACAUGGGUUUUGAAUAGUAAGGGGGCGAUUGCCUUAUCCCUUGUUUUUCCCCAUCCAAUUAGACUUUUUAUUAGAACUUAUUCUCAAAUUAGACUUAGUUUGGAAGUAAUUCUCAAUUUAGA